CGUAGGGUGCGAGCGUUAAUCGGAAUUACUGGGCGUAAAGCGCGCGCAGGUGGUUGAUUAAGUCUGAUGUGAAAGCCCACGGCUUAACCGUGGAGGGUCAUUGGAAACUGGUCAACUUGAGUGCAGAAGAGGGAAGUGGAAUUCCAUGUGUAGCGGUGAAAUGCGUAGAGAUAUGGAGGAACACCAGUGGCGAAGGCGGCUUCCUGGUCUGUAACUGACACUGAGGCGCGAAAGCGUGGGGAGCAAACAGGAUUAGAUA
rnacentral:rRNA from 1 species